AUUGAACGCUGGCGGAAUGCUUUACACAUGCAAGUCGAACGGCAGCACGGACUUCGGUCUGGUGGCGAGUGGCGAACGGGUGAGUAAUGUAUCGGAACGUGCCCAGUCGUGGGGGAUAACGUAGUGAAAAUUACGCUAAUACCGCAUACGAUCUAUGGAUGAAAGCGGGGGAUCGCAAGACCUCGCGCGAUUGGAGCGGCCGAUAUCAGAUUAGGUAGUUGGUGGGGUAAAGGCCCACCAAGCCAACGAUCUGUAGCUGGUCUGAGAGGACGGCCAGCCACACUGGAACUUAGCCACGGUCCAGAGUCCUACGGGAGGCAGCAGUGGGGAAUUUUGGACAAUGGGCGAAAGCCUGAUCCAGCCAUUCCGCGUGCAGGAUGAAGGCCCUCGGGUUGUAAACUGCUUUUGUACAGAACGAAAAGGUUUCUACUAAUACUAGGGGCUCAUGACGGUACUGUAAGAAUAGCACCGGCUAACUACGUGCCAGCCGCCGCAGUAA
rnacentral:rRNA from 1 species